rnacentral:rRNA from 1 species
UGAGGAACAUGACUUUCGGCGGGGGAUAGCCGGCCCAACGGCCGGGUAAUACCGCGUACGACCACAUGGGGACAUCCCUGAGUGGUGAAAGCAGCAAUGCGCCGAUGGAGUGCCUCGCGGCCUAUCAGCUAGUUGGUGAGGUAACGGCUCACCAAGGCGACGACGGGUAGCUGGUCUGAGAGGAUGGCCUGCCACAUUGGGACUGAGACACGGCCCAGACCUNUACCGGGAGG